UACAGAGGGUGCAAGCGUUAAUCGGAAUUACUGGGCGUAAAGCGUGCGUAGACGGUUACAUAAGUCGGGUGUGAAAGCCCCGGGCUCAACCUGGGAAUUGCAUUCGAGACUGCGUAGCUAGGGUGCGGAAGAGGGAAGCGGAAUUUCCGGUGUAGCGGUGAAAUUCGUAGAUAUGCGGAGGAACACCGGUGGCGAAGGCGGCCAUCUGGACGAGUACUGACGCUGAGACGCGAAAGCGUGGGGAGCAAACAGG
rnacentral:rRNA from 1 species